UUAAUAGAAGCCAAAUAGAGGCUGUUCACUGUUAAUGAAUUUAUUGAAAGUUCCUAUU
rnacentral:tRNA from 1 species